UUUUGUUAUAUUAAUGUAUAACACUUAGCUGAUGAUAUUUCGAGUAGGAAUCUCAUUGAAAUAACCAUGAAAUCAAUAUUGUCUCAACUGAUAAUAGCAUUAUGCUCAAGGAAGCUAUACUCAACCAAACCAAGCUAAUCAAGAUCUUAAUUCGUUUUAGUUUGCAAUCUGGCUCGUAUCUGGAUCCUUGGAUAUGAUAUCCUUCAAGUUGUGCCAUUGUUUCCCGAUUCGCUGGACUAACUUCUUAUAAGAAGUGGCCCCAUCAAUGGAUUAAUGAAUUAAUUCUUAAAGUACAUUUAAAUGAAAUAAAUAUAGAAAUAAAACAGAAUCCUGAACCUAAAAAA